GACGAACGCUGGCGGCGUGCUUAACACAUGCAAGUCGAGCGGUAAGGCCCUUUCGGGGGUACACGAGCGGCGAACGGGUGAGUAACACGUGGGCGACCUGCCCUCAGCUCUGGGAUAAGCCCGGGAAACUGGGUCUAAUACUGGAUAUGACUCCAUGACGCAUGUUGUGGGGUGGAAAGCCUUGUGCGGCUGAGGAUGGGCCCGCGGCCUAUCAGCUUGUUGGGGGGUGAUGGCCUACCAAGGCGACGACGGGUAGCCGGCCUGAGAGGGCGACCGGCCAUACUGGGACUGAGACACGGCCCAGACUCCUACGGGAGGCAGCAGUGGGGAAUCUUGCGCAAUGGGCGAAAGCCUGACGCAGCGACGCCGCGUGAGGGAUGACGGCCU
rnacentral:rRNA from 1 species